rnacentral:rRNA from 1 species
UCGGGAAUUUUGGGCAAUGGGCGAAAGCCUGACCCAGCAACGCCGCGUGAAGGAUGAAGUAUUUCGGUAUGUAAACUUCGAAAGAAUAGGAAGAAUAAAUGACGGUACUAUUUAUAAGGUCCGGCUAACUACGUGCCAGCAGCCGCGGUAAUACGUAGGGACCAAGCGUUGUUCGGAUUUACUGGGCGUAAAGGGCGCGUAGGCGGCAAUUCAAGUCAUCUGUGAAAUCUCCGAGCUUAACUCGGAACGGUCAGAUGAUACUGCUGUGCUAGAGUACAGAAAGGGCAAUCGGAAUUCUUGGUGUAGCGGUGAAAUGCGUAGAUAUCAAGAGGAACACCUGAGGUGAAGACGGGUUGCUGGGCUGACACUGACGCUGAGGCGCGAAAGCCAGGGGAGCAAACGGGAUUAGAUACCCCCGUAGUCCCUGAGCGGGCUGGCAAGGCGCAU